rnacentral:rRNA from 1 species
UACGAAGGGGGCUAGCGUUGCUCGGAACCACUGGGCGUAAAGGGUGCGUAGGCGGGUCUUUAAGUCAGGGGUGAAAUCCUGGAGCUCAACUCCAGAACUGCCUUUGAUACUGAGGAUCUUGAGUUCGGGAGAGGUGAGUGGAACUGCGAGUGUAGAGGUGAAAUUCGUAGAUAUUCGCAAGAACACCAGUGGCGAAGGCGGCUCACUGGCCCGAUACUGACGCUGAGGCACGAAAGCGUGGGGAGCAAACAGG